GAGAUCAUAAAGCACACGUGGGAAAAUGGAGAGAUCAGGCCCAGUCAGCAUGGGGUCAUGAAGGGCAGGUCUUACUUCAACAACCUGAUUUCCUUCUAGGAUAAGGGAGAGCAUUUUCAAAGCACUAUGGCAAUGCAUGGUGGUCCCAAGAUGCACAAUAAUCUACAAAUCCUUUUGUUGUACCUUCUGAAGAGAGUUUGGCUACUGUUACAAUGGGAUCCAGUUCUACACUUGGCAGCCACCUGGGAAAAAAAAAAAAAAAGCUACCAAGGACAGAAAAAAAAUUAAACUGUAAGAUCUCAUCCUCUGCAAUAACAGUGGAAAUAUUGCCCUUUGGGGAACAAAACACUUCUGGCAGUGAUUUCCAAAGGAAUAUGAGCCCUUCCUAACCUUCAAAAAAGUAACUUAAAAAAAUUAUAGCCUUCCCUUCAGGAUUGUAAUGGAUAAGCCAGUGAGGCACAGUUUUCAACCAGACACUGUGUAAAACCACAACUCCUGAGCCAGCAUUAUUAUACACACACAUCAUUCAAGAUGGUGUUUUUCUAGUUGAUGUCUCCUCCUUUUCAGAAGAUAGAAUCAGCUCUCUGCUGAAGAGCAUGUAAGACUCACCAAACACUGACCUGGAUGGAUGGCAGGCUGUCCUGCAUCUGCAUUGGAUGCACUUGGCCAGGCCUGUGGAGGGGCCAAUACAGCCCCAUGAGGGCAGCCACUGCCCUACAUUGGGUACAGACAGUGCCAGUCAGCUCCACCCCACCUAUAGCCAGCCCACGCUGUGCCAAAACUGAACCAACCACAGCCACCAGGGAACAGACACCAAAGGAAAAAGAUGACGCUCAAGCUGGGGCAGACAUGAUGGCAGAGCAAAAGAGAGACACUGGGGCAGAAGAGUCACUGCAGAAAAAGGCGGCACAAGAGGAGAUGCCUGAGCUGGACUACAGCACAGAUAUGUCCAAGAAGGGUUGGGUUAAACUGAUACUCAAACAGGAACAGAGCAAGGAGAUGCCUAAGCAGAGCUGCAGCUAAAAGAUGCUCGAGCUGGGAGAGGUGCACAAGAGGAAGGUACACCUCUAAGGGGACACAGCAGUCUGUGGAGGAGCCCACGCUGGAGCAGCAAAGCAAGAAAACAAGGAGAGACAAA